CUCCAGUCGAUGAUUAGAGAGAACCUCAAGAGUGACUAUCUUGCGUAUCAGACGCCAAUAAGUUCCGUAGGGGCUAAAACCAAGCAUGCUGUAAUUGUAGCCCAAGAUAUCCAUUGCAAGAGUUUUAGGUCGAGUAGCGAAAGCUUUGUCAUUGGUCCUUAGACACUCCUUGGCCAUCUCCCAGUUACUCACUAUCAAAGUUCGAUGGACUCCAAGCUUCACGGUGAAUAUCGGACCAUACUUGUCAGCCAAGUUUCCCAACGUUAUAUGGGGUGGUUGUGAGCCUCCUAGUAGAUGGAGAUGGCCAAUAAGGGGCCAUGCACCGGCAGCUUCCGGCGGUGCUCUCUUCUUGCUUCUCUCCUUUCCUGGAAUCCGAAACAAAUAGUAGAUCGAGGGCGUAAUAAAGGCAAACAGAAUAAGUACAGCAGUUGCUGAGAACUGAAAGGGGAAAUCCAUGAAUUGGUUUGGAGCUAUGUAGUGGUUUAUCAAAUAUUCAAAAUUAUAUAUAGCACUUAUGA